UCAAGUGACUAAGUGCAUGUGGCGGAUGCCUUGGCGAUCACAGGCGAAGAAAGACGCGGCAGCCUGCGAAAAGCUGCGGGGAGCUGGCAAACGAGCUUUGAUCCGCAGAUAUCUGAAUGGGGGAACCCACACCGCAAGGUGUAUCCGUGACUGAAUACAUAGGUUACGGAGGCGAACGAGGAGAACUGAAACAUCUAAGUAUCCUCAGGAAAAGAAAUCAACCGAGAUUCCGGCAGUAGCGGCGAGCGAACCCGGAGGAGCCUAGCUUUUGAUAGUACGAACUUUAGCCGAAAGGUCCUGGAAAGGCCUGCUAUAGUGGGUGAUAGCCCCGUAGGCGAAAGAGUUCGUAUGGUACUAAGGAAGCGAGAAGUAGAGCGGGACACGUGGAAUCCUGUUCGAAGAUGGGGGGACCAUCCUCCAAGGCUAAAUACUCGUGAUCGACCGAUAGUGAACCAGUACCGUGAGGGAAAGGCGAAAAGAACCCCGGGAGGGGAGUGAAAUAGAACCUGAAACCGCAUGCAUACAAACAGUAGGAGCCUCACCAGAGGUGACUGCGUACCUUUUGCAUAAUGGGUCAGCGACUUACAUUCUGUGGCGAGCUUAACCGAAUAGGGGAGGCGCAGCGAAAGCGAGUUCGAAAUGAGCGUCCAGUCGCAGGGUGUAGACCCGAAACCAGAUGAGCUAUCCAUGGCCAGGUUGAAGGUGUGGUAACACACACUGGAGGACCGAACCGACUAGUGUUGCAAAAUUAGCGGAUGAGCUGUGGAUAGGGGUGAAAGGCCAAACAAAUCUGGAGAUAGCUGGUUCUCCCCGAAAACUAUUGAGGUAGUGCCUCGUGUGUCGCUCCAGGGGGUAGAGCACUGUUUUGGCUAGGGGGACAUGGAGUCUUACCAAACCAAGGCAAACUCCGAAUACCUGGAAGCGUAAGCACGGGAGACAGAGCACCGGGUGCUAACGUCCGGACUCAAAAGGGAAACAACCCAGACCGCCGGCUAAGGUCCCCAAUAACAGCUAAGUGGAAAACGAAGUGGAAAGGCCGUGACAACCAGGAAGUUGGCUUAGAAGCAGCCAUCCUUCAAAGAAAGCGUAAUAGCUCACUGGUCGAGUCCUUCUGCGCGGAAGAUGUAACGGGGCUAAGCUGUUAACCGAAGCCGCGGAUGCACUGAUUAUUCAGUGCGUGGUAGGGGAGCGUUCUGUAAGUCUGCGAAGGCGGUUCGAGAGGACUGCUGGAGAUAUCAGAAGUGCGAAUGCUGACAUGAGUAACGUUAAAGCAGGUGAAAAGCCUGCUCGCCGUAAGCCCAAGGAUUCCUGCUCUACGUUCAUCGGAGCAGGGUGAGUCGGCUCCUAAGGUCAGGCCGAAAGGCGUAGCCGAUGGGAAUCAGGUUAAUAUUCCUGAACCUGCGUCAGAUGCGAUGGGGGGACGGAGCAUGAAAGAUCAUCCGGGUGUUGGAUGUCCCGGUUGACGAGCGUAGGAGGUCUGCAGGCAAAUCCGCAGACGCAUCUCCAAGGCAAAGACACGUGCCGCCACGGCGGCGAAGUGAUCGGAAGUGCUUCCAAGAAAAGCCUCUAAGCACCAGUCUGACGCGGACCGUACCGCAAACCGACACUGGUGGGCGAGCUGAAUAUGCUCAGGCGCUUGAGAGAACUCGGGAGAAGGAACUCGGCAAAUUGACACCGUAACUUCGGAAGAAGGUGUGCCGUAGUACCGUGAGAGGAGAGACACCUUGAGCGGGAAUCGGUCUCAGAGAAUAGGUGGCUGCGACUGUUUAUUAAAAACACAGCACUCUGCAAAGUCGAAAGACGACGUAUAGGGUGUGAUGCCUGCCCGGUGCUGGAAGAUUAAUUGAUGGGGUGAGAGCCCUUGAUCGAAGUCCCAGUAAACGGCGGCCGUAACUAUAACGGUCCUAAGGUAGCGAAAUUCCUUGUCGGGU
rnacentral:rRNA from 1 species